GAUGAACGCUAGCUACAGGCUUAACACAUGCAAGUCGAGGGGCAGCAUGAAAGGAACUUCGGUUCUUUUUGAUGGCGACCGGCGCACAGGUGCGUAACGCGUAUCGAACCUGCCUCAUACUCGGGGAUAGCCUUCUGAAAGGAGAUUAAUACAAGAUGGCAUCAUGAGUCCACAUGUUCACAUGAUUAAAGGUAUUCCGGUAGACGAUGGGGAUGCGUUCCAUUAGAUAGUAGGCGGGGUAACGGCCCACCUAGUCUUCGAUGGAUAGGGGUUCUGAGAGGAACGGUCCCCCACAUUGGAACUGAGACACGGUCCAA
rnacentral:rRNA from 1 species